rnacentral:tRNA from 1 species
GGGUCAGUAGCUAAAUGGAAUAGCGACGGCCUUCGAAGCCGUUUUAUGCAGGUUCAAGUCCUGUCUGGCCCU